UGGGGAAUAUUGCACAAUGGGCGCAAGCCUGAUGCAGCCAUGCCGCGUGUGUGAAGAAGGCCUUGGGUUGUAAAGCACUUUCAGCGGGGAGGAAGGCGAUAAGGUUAAUAACCUCAUCGAUUGACGUUACCCGCAGAAGAAGCACCGGCUAACUCCGUGCCAG
rnacentral:rRNA from 1 species